UCAGCAGGCGCGAAACCUUUACAAUGCACGAAAGUGUGAUAAGGGGAUCCCAAGUGCUCAUGCAUUGCAUGGGCUUUUGUCAAGAGUAAAUAUCUUGACGAAUAAGUGGUGGGAAAGACUGGUGCCAGCAGCCGCGGUAACACCAGCGCCACAAGUGGCAUACAUUUUUAUUGGGCCUAAAGCGUCCGUAGCUGGUCUGGUAAAUCUUUUGUGAAAUCAUGGGGCUUAACUCCAUGGCGUGCAGAAGAGACUGCCAGACUUGGAACCGGGAGGAGUCAGAGGAAUUCUGGGGGAAGCGGUAAAAUGCUGUAAUCCUCGGAGGACCACCUGUGGCGAAGGCGUCUGACUAGAACGGAUUCGACAGUGAGGGACGAAGGCCAGGGGAGCGAACCGGAUUAGAUACCCGAGUAGUCCUGGCAGUAAACGCUGCGAGCUAGGUGUUGCACAUCCUUAUGGGGUGUGCAGUGUCGAAGCGAAGGUGUUAAGCUCGCCGCCUGGGAAGUAUAGUCGCAAGACCGAAACUUAAAGGAAUUGGCGGGGGAGCACCACAAGGGGUGCGGCGUGCGGUUUAAUCUAAUUCCACGCAGAAAAUCUCACCAGCAGCGACGGCAGAAUGAAAGUCAGUCUGAAGGGCUUACUUGACGAGCCGAGAGGUAGUGCAUGGCCGCCGUCAGCUCGUGCCGUAAGGUGUCCUGUUAAGUCAGGCAACGAGCGAGACCUGUGCUUACAAUUGCUAGCGUCCAAUCUUGGGAACGAGCACAUUGUAGGGACUGCCCUGGAAACAGGGAGGAAGGUGCAGGCUACGGUAGGUCUGUAUGCUCCGAAUCUGCUGGGCUACACGCGCGCAACAAUGGUAGGGACAAUGGGCUGCAACCCCGAGAGGGGGAGCUAAUCCUCUAAACCCUAUCCAAGUCCAGAUUGAGGGCUGCAACCCGCCCUCAUGACGAUGGAAUCCCUAGUAAUCGGAGUUCAACACGCUCCGGUGAAUACGUCCCUGCUCCUUGCACGAAUUCGCCGA
rnacentral:rRNA from 1 species